rnacentral:rRNA from 1 species
CCUACGGGAGGCAGCAGUGGGGAAUAUUGGACAAUGGGCGAAAGCCUGAUCCAGCAAUGCCGCGUGUGUGAAGAAGGCCUUCGGGUUGUAAAGCACUUUAAGUUGGGAAGAAAAAGCUCUGGCUAAUAUCUAGAGCCUUGACGGUACCAACAGAAUAAGCACCGGCUAACUCUGUGCCAGCAGCCGCGGUAAUACAGAGGGUGCUAGCGUUAAUCGGAUUUACUGGGCGUAAAGCGUGCGUAGGCGGUUUGAUAAGUCGAUUGUGAAAGCCCCGGGCUUAACCUGGGAAUUGCAGUUGAUACUGUCAGACUAGAAAACGGUAGAGGGAGGCGGAACUCCAGGUGUAGCGGUGAAAUGCGUAGAUAUCUGGAAGAACACCGAUGGCGAAGGCAACCUCCUGGGCCUGUUUUGACGCUGAGGCACGAAAGCGUGGGUAGCAAACAGGAUUAGAUACCCUGGUAGUCCACGCCGUAAACGAUGAGAACUUGACGUUGGUUUGCUUAGCAAAUCGGUGUCGUAGCUAACGCGAUAAGUUCUCCGCCUGGGGAGUACGGCCGCAAGGUUGAAACUUAAAUGAAUUGACGGCUGAGACGNGCGACGACGACACGAGGGAGGAGG